AGCCAGCAAGCUUCAAAAGCUACGCUGAGCUGACGAUCAUGAAGACUCUGGAGGCCCACAAAGACUCCCACAAGGAGGUUGCAAGGGCCGCUGAGGAAGCUGCGUCCACUCUGGCCAGCUCCAUCCACCCGGAGCAGUGCAUCAAAGUGCUCUGCCCCAUCAUCCAGACGGCCGACUACCCCAUCUACCUGGCUGCCAUCAAGAUGCAGACCAAGGUCGGGGAGAGGAUCGCCAGGGAGUCCCUGCUGCAGCUGCUGGCUGACAUCCUCCCGGGCCUGCUGCAGGUUAUGGCGACACUGAAAGUAGUGUGCGGAAGGCCGGUGUGUUCUGCUUGGUGGCACUUUAUUCCGUAAUCGGAGAAGAGCUGAAACCUCACCUCGCACAGCUCACGGGGAGCAAGAUGAAGCUACUGAACUUGUACAUCAAGAGGGCGCAGACAACGAACAGCAACAGCAGCUCCUCCUCCGAGGUCUCCACGCACAGCUAACGGCAGCGCGGGUGUCCCAGCCGCAGAGCAGCCGCGGUGCCUCUCAGACCUUCCCACCCCCUCGUAGGCUCCCAUCAGGGCGAGGAGGACACACACACACAUA